ACGAGUGCGGGUCUUUGGGCCACCUCCCAUCCGUGUCUAUUGUACCCUGUUGCUUCGGCGGGCCCGCCGCUUGUCGGCCGCCGGGGGGGCGCCUCUGCCCCCCGGGCCCGUGCCCGCCGGAGACCCCAACACGAACACUGUCUGAAAGCGUGCAGUCUGAGUUGAUUGAAUGCAAUCAGUUAAAACUUUCAACAAUGGAUCUCUUGGUUCCGGCAUCGAUGAAGAACGCAGCGAAAUGCGAUAACUAAUGUGAAUUGCAGAAUUCAGUGAAUCAUCGAGUCUUUGAACGCACAUUGCGCCCCCUGGUAUUCCGGGGGGCAUGCCUGUCCGAGCGUCAUUGCUGCCCUCAAGCCCGGCUUGUGUGUUGGGUCGCCGUCCCCCUCUCCGGGGGGACGGGCCCGAAAGGCAGCGGCGGCACCGCGUCCGAUCCUCGAGCGUAUGGGGCUUUGUCACAUGCUCUGUAGGAUUGGCCGGCGCCUGCCGACGUUUUCCAACCAUUCUUUCCAGGUUGACCUCGGAUCAGGUAGGGAUACCCGCUGAACUUAAGCAUAUCAA
rnacentral:rRNA from 1 species